rnacentral:tRNA from 1 species
GGAGGAUAUUCCGAUCGGUCAGGAGACAGUUCGCUAAACUGUGACGGGGAAACUCGUCGGUGGGUUCGACUCCCACAUCCUCCG